UGAGUAAAUAUUCAUUUUUUCCCGAAACGCUUAGAGAGAGAGAAAACACAUAACAGGAAAAAUCGAUAAAUAAUUAAACUUGAGGAUUUAGUUUUUAAAGGACAUGACGUGUCCCAAAUAGAUAAAAACAGAUGGGAAAAAAAUAUAUAUUUAUGUAUAUCGGGACUGCGGAUGUUAUUGACACGCUCACGCUGGUUCGCCGGAUUCGCGCUGUAUUAUUGUUAUUUAUUACAUACGCCUUACAUGAACUAUUUUUGUGCAUUGGCUUGCUUUUUUAUUUCGUUUUGAUUAGGUUCCUGUUUUUUUGCGCUUUCAAAAAAGCAAACAAAAAUGGAGUGCCAAAUUAUCGGGACCGUAAGGAAGGAAAUGUUCUCCACGUGUGUCCGGCUUGUGCAGGAGGAGAUUUUUCUAGCCAAGAAAGACGAAACACUCCCUUUUUUGUUGUUGUUGAAGAAGGAAAAAGACUUUUAGCCUGAAGGUGGGCACCAUAAUUGCCCAGUCGGGGGAAAAGAAGGUACACGGAUAAAAGAACAGGUUUUGUAACAGGUUCAACUUUCACGUCAUCAUAAUUCACACAAAAAAGGACCAUUGAGACCUUUGGAGCUGUUUGCUUUUAUUACCAGCAUAGAUUUCUUCGCCCUCGGAUAACACACAAAAUCUGUUUAUUUUUUGUUUUGACCUCUUUUUAUUUCAUCCUUAAAAAUCCAUUCCAUUAGGUUUGAA